UACGUAGGCUGUAUCAUAAGUCAGUGGUGAAAUAUCGGGGCUCAACCCCGGGACUGCCAUUGAAACUGUGGUACUUGAGUUCAGUGGGAGUAGGCGGAAUGUGUUGUGUAGCGGUGAAAUGCAUAGAUAUAACACAGAACACCGAUCGCGAAGGCAGCUUACUAUACAUGGACUGACGCUAAUGUACGAAAGCGUGGGGAGCGAACAGGAUUAGAUACCCUGGUAGUCC
rnacentral:rRNA from 1 species